rnacentral:piRNA from 1 species
UGAUCUUAUUUGUGUUGAUGUCAGACAA